AAAAAACCGGAUAUGACGUUUCCAACGCAUUUUAUGAAGACGGCGCGAAGGAGGUGUAUCAUGGCGUCGGAGCUAGAAGUACCAGUCAGCAUGAGUUUGAUCACGGGUUUCUUCAUCGCUGCCUAAUUUUGGCGAAAUGAAGGAAUGGCACAACUUUACUGACGGAGAAAAAAAGUUUUGGCUAAGAGGAAUGCACGCAGUUGUCAGUGUGAACUGGUGGAUGGUUAAGAAGCUGAUGUGUCUUCUAGAAAUCUAAACAAAUUUGUGCAGAAUAACCAUAGGUCCAUUAGUGUCAGCUGUCUUUGCCAAUGGGUGGAUCCACACUGCAAAACUUAUGAAGAUGAUUGCAAACCGAAGAAGAGUCCUUGGACAAAGCAUUAAACCCUCUUGGUCCCCACUACACAGGUAAGAACAGCUACACUCAACAAAAACUUUUGUAAUCAUGUUAAAGGGGUCAUCAGAUGCUGUUGAUAUGAUUCUUUAGAGUCUUAAUGAGAAGUCCAUA